GCCCGCCUAGCUCAAUCGGAUAGAGCGUCAGACUUUUACAACUAAGAGGCGGAUUAAUCUGAAGGCUGCGAGUUCGACCCUCGCGGUGGGCU
rnacentral:tRNA from 1 species